rnacentral:rRNA from 1 species
CGGAGCGAAACUCAGAAAGUGCAUCGUAGUCCCGGGUGGAGUCUGCAACUCGACUCCAUGAAGUCGGAAUCGCUAGUAAUCGCGAAUCAGAAUGUCGCGGUGAAUACGUUCCCAGGCCUUGUACACACCACCGCCCGUCACACCAUGGGAGUGGGUUGUACCAGAGUAGAUAAGCUUAACCUUUUGGAGGGCGUUGCCACGGUACCGAUUCAUGACUGGGGUGAAGUCGUAACAAGGUAACCGUAGGGGAACCUGCGGUUGGAUCACCUCCUUA